GACGAACGCUGGCGGCGUGCUUAACACAUGCAAGUCGAGCGGUAAGGCCCUUUCGGGGGUACACGAGCGGCGAACGGGUGAGUAACACGUGGGUGACCUGCCCUCAGCUCUGGGAUAAGCCUGGGAAACCGGGUCUAAUACUGGAUAUGACUCCAUGACGCAUGUUGUGGGGUGGAAAGCCUUGUGCGGCUGAGGAUGGGCCCGCGGCCUAUCAGCUUGUUGGUGGGGUGANGGCCUACCAAGGCGACGACGGGUAGCCGGCCUGAGAGGGCGACCGGCCACACUGGGACUGAGACACGGCCCAGACUCCUACGGGAGGCAGCAGUGGGGAAUUGUUCGCAAUGGGCGCAAGCCUGACGACGCAACGCCGCGUGGAGGAGUGAAGGUCUUCGGAUUGUAAACUCCUGUUGCUCGGGACGAAAUGCUCCAGCCUAACACGUUGGAGUUUGACGGUACCGGGUGA
rnacentral:rRNA from 1 species